UAGAAACACUGGGGGAACUGCUAUGUAGCAGCUGAGACCGACCUGAACCAGGCCGAAACCCUUUGAACCUGUCAGCUAGGACUGGGGUAGGGAAGCAGAGUGCGAUCAGG
rnacentral:ncRNA from 20 species